rnacentral:misc_RNA from 1 species
GAAAUGCGAUAAGUAAUGUGAAUUGCAGAAUUCAGUGAACCAUCGAAUCUUUGAACGCACAUUGCGCCCGGCAGUAAUCUGCCGGGCAUGCCUGUCCGAGCGUCAUUUCUGCCCUCGAGCGCGGUCAGCCUUUCGGGGCUGCCGCCGCCCGGUGUUGGGGCGCUACGGGGAGCCUCGCGCUAUCCCCCGUAGGCCCCGAAAUGAAGUGGCGGUCCCGCCGCGGCGCCCCCUGCGUAGUAGUCUAACAGCUCGCAUCGGGUCCCGGCGGAGGCCUGCCGUCAAACCUAUCUUACAAGUUUGACCUCGGAUCAGGUAGGGUUACCCGCUGAACUUAA